UGCUCCCCAACAGGGUCGGGCAGGAGGAGCCCUCAGCCAUCGGCAUGGGCACCCCGCACCCAGCACAGGGUAUGAAAAAGAAAAAAAAGAAGAAAAUCAAGAAUAAAAUCAAGUCACGGGAACCUUCUCUGGAGCAGCAGCGUGAGGAGGUCUCAAGCACCUUUGAUUUGUACCGCCGGGCCAUGCUGGCUCUGAAGAUUAGGCAGGAGCAGAGGAAGCAGCCGUCGGCCAUCGCCCCCUGAGCAGGGAGGCACCGAGCACGGGCUGUGGUCCCGAGGAGCCGGGCUGCAGGGCAGGGCAGAGCUGUGGGUGCUUGGCCAGGGCUGGCAGAGCUGGGAAAGGGGUCUGGGGCAUCAACUACAUCCUUGUCCUCUGAGUGGCUGAAAACCAGGGAUCCACAGGGGCCAGCCAAAAGUCCCUUUGUAAAACGCCUCUGGCAGCAAACCCGAGUGAAAAGGAAACAGCCGGCCCCUUGCUGCCCCCUGUUAGUGUUCCCUGGAAGACUCCGACUAAACGCGCAUUGGUCCGUGUGGAGAGGCAGAUCCGAGCAAACACCAGGGGGAAAGCUUGUCCCUUGUAUUGCCCGGUGCGGAGAAGGCUGUGCUCACAGGUGAGGGCUGGCCCGGCACUCCCUGCCUGCUGCCCGGAACGCUCUCGUUCCCUGCUGGUGACCGAGGGAGGGCAGCCCCGGGCGGUGUGCAGAGGAGCUCCACAUCUGGCAGGGCCGUCAGACCCGCGUCCCACUCUGCAGGAAGGUGGUGCCCGUGUUUGUGCACCCUGCAGCCCAUCAGUGAACAUUUACAUGCAAAGGCAGCUGGUGGCAGAGGCUCCAUACCCAGGAGUGACCCUGCCACCCUUCCAGGAGGGACACUGUCGCUGGCAGCCUGGUACUCUGCUGCCCCAGGUGACACGGGACAGCAGCAGCACACCUGUCUGAGCCCAGCCUGUGACACUCUGUGUGUGCGGAGCAGCAGCACAGCCUGUGACACUCUGUGUGUGCAGAGCAGCAGCACACCUGUCUUGGCUCAGCCUGUGACACUCUGUGUGUGCAGAGCAGCAGCAGCACACGUGUCCAAGCCCAGCCUGUGACACACCGUGUCUGCCAGGGUGCACGGCAGGCACAGCUGCCCUCAGCCCUGGAAACACUCCACCUGGAGCCCAGGGUUGGUGUUUUUCUCGUGGCACCUGCAGCAGGCAGCGCUGGAAGCUGAGGUGUGCGUUAGUCACCUCUGCUCCCCUGUUACACAUUAACGGGCUCUGCCUCUGCCGACCAGGGGAAGGCAAAUCAAGGGAGCCCUUUCCUGGGCAGGGCUGGAAAGGGAAAGGAAGAAAGUGGCUGCUCUGCCUUGCCAGCCUGCCAUAAAGCUCUGACUCAGGGGUUAUUUGUAAAUAAACUGUAAAUAACAGCAGCAGAAGUUGAUACUGCCCUGUAAAUACAGCACUUUCACAGCA